AUUGAACGCUAGCGGGAUGCUUUACACAUGCAAGUCGAACGGCAGCGCGGACUUCGGUCUGGUGGCUAGUGGCGAACGGGUGAGUAAUGUAUCGGAACGUGCCCAGUAGCGGGGGAUAACUACGCGAAAGCGUAGCUAAUACCGCAUACGCUCUACGGGGGAAAGCAGGUGAUCGUAAGACCUUGCACUAUUGGAGCGGCCGAUAUCGGAUUAGCUAGUUGGUGAGGUAACGGCUCACCAAGGCGACGAUCCUUAGCUGGUUUAAGAGGACGAGCAGCCACACUGAGACUGAGACACGGUCCAGACUCCUAAGGGAGGCAACAGUGAGGGAUUUUGGACAAUGGGGGCGACCCUGUUCCAGCCAUCGCGGGUGUGCGAUGAAGGCCUUCAGAUUGUAAAGCACUUUUGGCAGGAAAGAAACGUCGCGGGCUUAUACCCCGUGGAACUGACGGUACCUGGAGAAUAAGCACCGGCUAACUACGUG
rnacentral:rRNA from 1 species